CUAGAGCCAUUCUUCCUCUCUCAUUUAUGGGUUAGAAGCCAAAGGAGUUACACCUCACUGAGGCUGUACUUGUUUUGAGUUGUUGUCAGUCAUCUGAAGGGGUAUUCUAUGGAAUAGAAUAGAACAGAAUGAAAGAAAAUGCCCAUCCUGACUGUCAUCUUACCCCCAAAUGUGGAUUUAACUAUUCCAUUUUUGUAAUCUCACUUACUGAAGUUAAGGGUGUUGGAGUCCAGUAAAAACAGAGGAAGUAAUAAAAAUUUAGGCUCAUCAAUAUUAUAGUAUGUGAUUUAUUUUACCACACUGUUUUGAUACUCUAUAUGUGGGCCUCGACUAUUUUUGCAAGAUACAAUACAAAUACAGAACAGAAAUGUGGAUUUUUCUGCCAAAGAGGAAUAAAAGAGAUUACUAGAUAAAAGCACGCAGAUGGAUACAAAGGAAUAUGUUGGUGAAGGAUCCCAGCAUACAUGGCUUAUUUACUGCCAAGAAUUUUGAAAGGAGAAUUUUUAAGAAGAGCUUGAGGAAUAUUUUUAUGUAUGUUUAUAGAGAAUUCCCAGAACAGAUGCAAGACUGUACCUCAGUGGGCUGCCUUGGAGAACACUGAGAGAAAAUAUAUGGUUUGAGAAUAUGGGAAUCUCUUAGCCAGAAAGACGGCAGAGCAAAAGACAGAAGAGAAGUAAGAGUGGAAAGACAAGACACCAAAGACCUGCAUUACAAAGACUGCAGUAGGAGAGGAUACAAAGACAAGACCUUAAAGUGGAGGCAAAACCAGUCCUCUCUGCAAAGCAAAGAAGGAUUAAAAUACAAAGAAACCAAUGAUAACAUAAAUUUAAAAGCCAGGCCAGCUAAGAGGGAUUAAGACACAUAUUUUGGCAGGCAGAACUAGUGAUGGACCAUGAUGACAGAAGCCAAAAGCAACAAUGCAAUAGACUGAAGCUUAAUGAGGUGGAAUGGAGCCAGCACUUAGAUUUGUUUAAAUACGCAUAGGAAUUGGCCUGCUGUCAUUUUAUCAAAUAUGACAAGACAUAAGGCUGAAUACCCCCAAAAACUUCUUCUACAUCCACUACUACCCACAUACCUUACUAAUAAUGGGAGCAAAUAUGGAAACUGCUGAAGUUAGUCUGAAGAAAAAUAUAACUAAAGAUACGCUUAAAUAAUCCCAAUAUCAUUUCAGUUAAUGUCACCAUUAUACACAGCACUCUCCCAACAGAAUGUGGAAUAUCUUAUUUUGCCUUUGACAAGCUCAGAGAAUUGAAAGUCAAAAUUCAGAAACAAUCUACCACACAUCUGCUUUAUUUGCACUUAUCUCCAUUAAAUGGGAAUGAACAUCAGCAAUGGCUAACAGUGUUUGAUUUAAGGAGAGAUGAUACUUAGGACAGAAAAGCCUAUAGUAGUUGAUAAUACUACAGUUCUCCUUUAUUCUCCUUAUCAGUUCCUCCCUCAUGUUACAUACAAAUACUGAAACUGAGAAAGUACUGUCAUAAUGUGUAGCAUUAUUAUCUCUGCAUUCAUGUCAGUGGAAAUGCUAAGUCAUGGCCUGAACCAGUGAUUGAGAAUCUGGUGAGAAGACAGGGCCAACCAAGGGGAGCUCAGGUGCAAGCAAUGCCCCUGAGUGACUGGAAAGGGUGGAGCCAGGAUCCACCCCUCCCCAGACCUCAUUUAAUGGUUGACAGUGGA